rnacentral:rRNA from 1 species
UACGUAGGGCGCAAGCGUUAUCCGGAAUUAUUGGGCGUAAAGAGCUCGUAGGCGGUUUGUCGCGUCUGCCGUGAAAGUCCGGGGCUCAACUCCGGAUCUGCGGUGGGUACGGGCAGACUGGAGUGAUGUAGGGGAGACUGGAAUUCCUGGUGUAGCGGUGAAAUGCGCAGAUAUCAGGAGGAACACCGAUGGCGAAGGCAGGUCUCUGGGCAUUAACUGACGCUGAUGAGCGAAAGCAUGGGGAGCGAACAGG